CGGGCCGUAGCUCAGUAGGCUAGAGCGCUUGGUUUGGGACCAAGAGGUCGUCGGUUCAAGUCCGGCCGGCCCGACCA
rnacentral:tRNA from 1 species